GUUAAACGCUAAACGCGGAGAAAACGAGACGUUAGGGGUGGCUGAAAGCGCGUGCGUACGUAGGUUACCGGACUCUUUUCCCUGUUUUUUCUAAAAGAUGCAUUGUGUUACCUGCGGGAUAUGGAAUCUUUAUGGGGCCCACUGUGCGAGGGAGACAUUGAAGAGGCUGAUGGAGUGCUACAGGUGUUCUGUCCCUGGCAUGAUUAUGACUUCAACAUCAGGACAGGAAAGUCACAGACAGGUUUACAGCAAGAAGUGUAUGAAGUAAAG